GAGAGCGCCGGCGGCGCGAGACGCUCCCUCCGCUUCUCCCCUCCCGCCCUCCCGCCUUUCCCCGCUCCAUGAGGGCCCUGCGCGCGCUGCGCCGGGCGGUCCCCGCCGCCUCCCGCUCCUCGUCCUCCUCCUCCUCCUCCUCAUCAUCAUCCUCCUCCUCCUUCUCUUCUCCCGCCGUAGGGAGGCCUCGGAGGAGGGCAUGGGAAGCCUCCCUGUCGCCGCUGGAGCGGGUGAGGCGGCUGCUGCCGCCCGAGGAGGCGGCGGCGGUGUCGCGGUGCGCGGCAGCGCCGCCGCCGCCUCAGCGUCCCGAGGAGGAGGAGGGGAUGGACGAGAUGGCGGCCACCACCGCAGCCCCUCGGGGUGGGGUGGUUGAGGCGGCGGGAGCGCUCCCCGCGCCGUUCCGCGCCGGGGAGCUGGCGCUGGCGGAGCUGCGGAAGAAGGACCAGAGGACGCUGAAGGUGAUGUGCCGGCUGGCGAGCGGGGCGGUGCUGACCGGCCCCGGCGGGGUCCUGCCCCACGACGACAUCAUCGGGCAGAUGCCCGGGCAGGUGCUGCGAACUUCGGCCGGGAAGCGGCUGCUGCUGAGGCGGCCGUCGCUGGAGGAGUACGUGCUGCUCAUGCCGCGGGGACCCACCAUCGCCUACCCCAAGGACGUGAGCGCGAUGUUGACGAUGAUGGAUGUCCACCCGGGAGACACCGUGCUAGAAAGCGGCAGCGGUUCUGGCGCUAUGAGCUUGUUUCUGUCACGGGCAGUUGGGCCCAAAGGACGUGUUAUAAGUUAUGAAAUCAGAGAUGAUCAUCAUAAUUUAGCUAAGAAGAAUUACAGGCACUGGCGAACCGCAUGGGAAAUAGGACACAUGGACGAGUGGCCGGAUAACGUGGACUUCGUUCUUAGAGACAUUUCAACAGCUGCUGCAGAGAUGAAAUCUGUAACACUUGACGCAAUAGUUCUGGAUAUGCUUAACCCUCAGUCUGCUCUGCCUGUUGUACACCCAAGCCUGAAACAAGGUGGUGUGUGCGCUGUGUAUUUAGCAAACAUCACACAGGUUAUUGACCUUUUAGACAGAAUACGGACCUGCAAGCUUCCUUUUCUGUGUGAAAGGAUUGUUGAGGUAACUCACAGAAACUGGUUAGUAAUCCCUGCUCAAAUCAAGAAUUGCAAAUCAAGCCAAAUGGUGGAAACUCAACAAAAUAUUGAAGAACCACCUCAAAAGGAAUAUGAAGAAAUCCACAUUGAGGAUCAAGCAGUUCUUAAAGAAAGCGAAUACAAUGGUAAGAACAUUACUGCUCAUGAGACACUCUCUUACUGCACUUUGGUAAUCCAGUGUAGGAAGAGGCAGUAUUUUUUCUUAGAUCAGCUGAGAAUAGACAAGGUUUUGGACAGCCUAGACCUUGUCAAGUUUGCAAAACACUACAAUAGUAAUUGUUUAAUUUUAAAUAUCUUAUUAAUAAUCUAGACUAAGUAGAAAAUAAAUUACAAUAAAGAAUGACGGCUCUUCUACUACUGUUUUCAAACUUUUGCUUUUCAAUAAAAUUUAGUUCUUUUUUAUUUGUCCUAAGGCUGCUUUAGAGGACCCUGAUGGACUUAAGAAUUCCAUAGAAGAAACAGUGCCAGUGUGCUCUGCUUUAAAAGUCACGCUGCCCAAAGAGGAUGCCUCACACAUACACAUACAUAUGUACACAUAAACAACAGGUAUAGGUAUAUAUACAGUAUAGAUUUGCAGAAUCCAUACUAGAGCAAAGAGUCAUAGGUGACAACAAAGCACCAUAACAGAAGCAAAAAAAAAAAAAAGAAAGAAUUUGUCAGGUAAAAUAAUCUGUGCACAUUGGCAACUCUAGUCUGCAUGUGUGUCUUAAGCUUGUGGGAAAGAAGUAACAAACUCAAUGUACUUCUCACAGGAUCACUUUCUGAUGAUGCUGACACGUAUCACUCAGUGCCUUACGUUGCUAGACCGUCUUACUGGCAGGAAGGUCAUUCAGCAUUCCUUACCAAGCUGAGAAAGUUUCGGCCGCUGCUUUCU